GAAAAAUAUAACAAAUCCAUAGAAGUUUACUGUUCUAUUGAGCUUUUAGAGGUUCUUAAGGGAAAUUCUGAAAAAUCAAAACAGCAAAUUUUUUUUGAUAAGAGUUCUACUGUUCUAUUGAAAGCUCAGGGAUUCAUUUAUUUCUUAAAAAUAAAUUCCUAUCCUCAUAUUCCAAUGGGUGAUAUUUGGUUAUUGAAGUUUGAUUCAAGCUAGUUGAGGGCUGAUCUAUCAUUAGUUUUGUUGGGUUAAUUUCUGGGUUUCGUAUCAAAAUUUGUUGAUUUCCAACUGCUGAAGCUGUUGAUUUGUGGUUGUGCUGACUCUUCACCUCUUUUUCUUUAACACCCAGGUACACAACUUUGUAAUACUGUUGGUUGUGAAGUUAACAUUUGAAGGAUGAAUUGGGAAGUGAAGAAUUGAAGUAUUGAAAUGCUCUAUUUUCGUUUUCUAUGACUUAUUAUCUAGUUUACUAUGUUUAUUUCAUCUAAAUCUGCUCUAAAUGAGUAGUUCAUAGCCAUCAGUAGCAGUGAUGUAAUCUUAGCAAUCAUAUUAUGGAUCUUCAGUUCAACUUAACAGUGUCAUGCGUGAUUUGUGUAAUUUUAUUUGUGCAUUAAUAGGGGUAUGGUGUUUUGGUUCACUAGCACCUGGUCCACUAGUAUCAUGUUUUGAGUAUUAUUCAUGUUUAAUUAGGGUAGACCUCGAAUGGUGUCUAUUUGUGUAGAGUCAUUGAUCAUGUUCCAGGUUAUAUUUGUUCGAGGUUAUUUAAAGGUUAUGGUUGUUGAGUAAUGGCUUUGUUUGGAUUUGGUCAAUUAUGGGUCAUUUAGUGUUUGGUCUGUUAGUGAUCGAUCAAGCAGCCAUUGACAUAUCAUUUGUUUGUUGGUUAACAUCUGCGUGAAAGUGAUACAAUUAGCCAAGUUAGUAUGAGAUUGAAAUUGUGGAAAUUUUGAAAUCUUGCUGCUUAUUGUUAGUUAUUAGGACCAUAAUUCUCACUCGAAGUCAAAAUCAAUUCAUUGCUGGAUGUCAUAUGGUGUGUUACAAAUGAGUCAGGGAUUCCAAAGUUCACUUGCUCAUAUGAUGAUCUCGUUGUUGCCUCAGCUGCAUCUUCAGUCGUGUUAAUAAGUGUUAGGGAUUUGAUGUUGAGCCUCAGUUGUGGGAUUCUAAAUUUGUGCUCUUUAUGCGGCCCAAUUCUUAAUUGUCUUUUUUAGUACAUCCUGGCAACUUUCUGGGCCAAUUGUACACUUGUGCUGGCACAAGCCUUCUGCUCAAAUGGUUUAACCUUUCCUCAGGUAGGAUAUUUUAAAUUCAAUGGAGCCUUCGUGUAACGACUAGACCGGACGUUUUGAGAAAUUAAGCUCUAUUCAGUAGCAUAAGGUCUGGAACAGCUUCAGCAUAUGAAUAUUGACUUGCGUGCAUAGUAGAAUUCGGCUUUCGGAUGGUUUAGAGUCAAAUUGAAAGAAGAAAUCUAGUUUUGGAAGUUUGAACGGUGAAAAGUUGUCUAGAAUUGGACUUUUGGGUAAAUGACCCGAAAAGGGUCGUGGAUGUGUGAGAACGUGAUUUUUGCUUUCACGACAAUCACUCCAAAAGAAAUCGAACAAAAUAAAACAAAUUGUCUUUGUGUAUAAUUCUUGAGAAUUUGCAUGGCAUUUGGAUAGUUAUUUGUAGUUAUUAUUUGUGAUUGUUUAUUUUUAUUAAUUAAAAAUACAAAAAAAAAUACUACGUGCAAAUUUAGGAUCUUAUUCUAUAUUUAGGAAUUAAUUAAAUCAUAAUUUGGUUUUAAAAGAAAAAUCACAAAAUAGGCAUUUUAUUCUAUUUUUUGUCAUUUAAAUGCGACAUUCUGUGAUUUUAUCUUAGAAGUGGACUUUUAGGUAAACGUGUGACAACCCGACUCGUCGUCAUGUGAGUUACCACCCCGUUUCCCCAUUUUCUGCUUCUUUAUGUCUCAGUAUCAGUUUCGUGUGUGGUCGAGUUGGUUUGGAUGAAUUUUUGAAGGAAAUGAGACUUAGUCUUUUUAAGGAAAGCUUAGUUUGGAAAAGUCAACCGGAUGUUAACCUAGUUAGAGGGCUCAAAUGUGAAUUCUGAUGAUUCGGUUAGCUUCGAGGGAUUAUUUUUGAAUUAGGAAUGGGACUGGAAGUGAUUUUAGAGUCCCGGUGUAGAAUUAGGCUUGAAUUGGUGAAGUUAGUAUUUUGGCGAAUUCCGGUUGAUUGGCGAGAUUUUGAUUAGAUGGUCGGAAUAGAAUUCGAGAGUUGCUGUAGCUUUGUUAGGUGAUGUGCGAGGUGUGUGCAAAAUUUGAGGUCAUUCGGAGGUGUUUUGACUGGGUUUUUGAUCAAAUGUGUGUUUGGAAGUUUUAUAAGAACUUAGGCUUGAAUCAGAUGUAAUUUGAUGGUUUUGGUGUUGUUUGUGGUGUUUUAAUGAUUGGAACAAGUUUGAAUGAUGUUAUAGGAGGUGUUGGUGCUAUUAGUUGAGGUCUCGGGGGCCUCGAUGUGAUUUCAAAUGGCUACUGGGAUGAAUUUUGGACUUGUGAUAUUGUAGAAAAUCCAGCAGCAGGUCCAGGCCAGAUUUGGCCUUCGCGUCUGCGAAGGUAGGUCCGUGUUUGCGGAAGGUCCUGGGAGUGUGCAUCAUGUUCGCGUGACAAGUGUUGUGUUCGCAUAGACGGAUUUUAAGUCCCAUAUUAUUUGUUCUUCGCGUUCGCGACAUAAGGCUCGCAUUCCGUAGUUGUAUCAUUUAAAGCAUCGCGUCUGCGGAUAAGGCACCGGGUUUGUGAAGGGUAAAAUUGGUCAGUGGGCCUGGGGCUCAAAUUUUGCUAAUUUCGAGAUUUUUGCUAUUUUCGUUUGUUUUCAAUUGGGUAUUGUUCCAUUGGCAUAUUGUGAUGUAUCCAUUGUGGUUUUGAUUAGUUUCGAUGCGCGGGGAGGUUGAUUUGAGAGGCAAAGGCAUAGCGAGCUAGGAAUUUGGCUGGCUUGAGGUGAGUAAUAGAUGUAAAUAUUGUCCUGAGGGUUUGAAAUCCCAGAAUUUCACAUCAUAUGCUAUAUUGAGGCGACUUGCAUGCCAGAUGGCGAGCAUGGGGUAGAGUACUGUUGGGGAUGGUGACUUAUUCCGUCGCGAUAGAUGAAUUUACUAUGUAUUUGACUGAAUAUCACUUGUUAUCAUUAUGAUUUGAGCUGAUUGUCAUAUUUGGGCUUCGUUUAAAUUGAUUGAAUCCUUCAGGGAUUGCUAUUAUUGGUGUACCAUUUUUACGUAUUAUUGAACUCAAUCCUAGUAUUUAAUAGUAUUUUUCAAACUCAGCCAUCUUUUCUCAAACUUCAAACUUAAAUAAUAUUUCUAAUGAAGUUUGGGCUGAAUAUUUAUAUGUUAUUGUGCCCGAGGGGUUAUAUGAUUUUGGACUGAGCAUGGGAUCGGCCUGCGCGCUGCAGUAGUAUUAUAUUGAUAUUGAUAUGAGGUCGAGAGCCUAGUUGAUGCCACGAAAUGGAUUAUAUUGCUCUUGGGCCGUAAGUGGCCCCUCACAGAGUCUGCACACCCCCAGUGAGCGUCGUUGACGAUAAAUAAAUGGAGCGGGCUGCACGCCGCAGUGGGUACUAGAGAGUACCAGACUAUCUAUUGCAUUUAAUGUUUGACUUUCAUUUACUAACUUAUCUGUUGCAGUAUUUCCUUAAUUGUUUUCAUUGGCUUAAGGAAUUUAUACUACUUGGUCAACAUUGCUGCAUUUAUAGAAUUACUUUGUGCCUAUUCAAGAUUUAGUACUCACAUUACUCCCUGCACCUUGUGUGCAGAUCUAGGUGCAUCUGAGGCUGAGUGAGGACUUCUCUAUCGAGCAGCUUAUCCGGGAGUAUUAAGGCAGCUGCAUGACGUCUACAGUCCUGAUUUUCCAUUUUAUCUUAUUGAUUCAUUUCAGCAUUUCUUUAGAACGAAAUGUAGUAGGUUGAUACUCAUGUAUUAGAGGCUCAGUCUUGUGACUACGGAUUCUUUGGGUUGUGUAGUCGUAUUAGUAUUUAGUAUUUUCG
rnacentral:lncRNA from 1 species